UACGAAGGGUGCAAGCGUUAUUCGAAAUUACUGGGCGUAAAGAGUGCGUAGACGGUAUGUUAAGUUCGUUGUUAAAGACUCUAGCCUAACUGGAGGGUUGCAAUGAAAACUGGCGCACUAGAGGGUGAGAGAGGGAAGUGGAAUUCCCGGAGUAGCGGUAGAAUGCGUGGAUCUCGGGAGGAACACCAAUGGCGAAGGCAGCUUCUUGGCUCAUUCCUGACGUUGAGGCACGAAAGCGUGGGGAGCAAACAGG
rnacentral:rRNA from 1 species